UACGGAGGAUGCAAGCGUUAUCCGGAAUUACUGGGCGUAAAGCGUGCGCAGGCGGUUUUGUAAGCCAGAUGUGAAAUCCCCGGGCUUAACCUGGGAAUGGCAUUUGGGACUGCAAGGCUUGAGUGCGGCAGAGGAGACUGGAAUUCCUGGUGUAGCAGUGAAAUGCGUAGAUAUCAGGAGGAACACCGAUGGCGAAGGCAGGUCUCUGGGCUGACACUGACGCUCAUGCACGAAAGCGUGGGGAGCAAACAGG
rnacentral:rRNA from 1 species